rnacentral:lncRNA from 1 species
CUCAACUUCUUCUUCACUCACAUUACUCCAAAACACAACAACUCACUCAUGGCCCCCAAACUUCAUUUUAAUCUCUUUUUAUAUUUUGCAGAUCUCACAGACUACUUACAAAAUAAAAAUAUUAUUGCACUCUCUCUCUCUCUCUUUCUCAAGUCUCAACAAACUAAAACCCCACCCCGCACCAUUAUUGUUUUCAUUACCUUAACUCCCUCGUCCACAAACAACAUAUCACUACUAGAAAACUCACACCACUGUAAUAAUAUUUUUUAGAUUCUGAAUAAUACAUUCCCAAGAAGUAAAAAAAGGAGAAUCAUAGUAAUCAAAUCUAAGAACUUAUAAGAAAAUACAAUGCCAAUAUACUACUUACUUACUUACUACUAUAUAGGAGGAGGGUUCAUCAUAAUCUCUAUACAUUAAAA